rnacentral:rRNA from 1 species
UAUGUAGGGUCCGAGCGUUGUCCGGAAUUACUGGGCGUAAAGCGCGCGCAGGUGGCCCGCGAGGUGUCACGUGAAAGCCCCGGGCUCAACCCGGGAGGGUCGUGGCAAACCGGCGGGCUUGAGGCCGGUAGAGGUGGGUGGAACUCCUGGUGGAGUGGUGAAAUGCGUAGAUAUCAGGAGGAACACCGGUGGUGUAGACGGCUUUCUGGACCGUAACUGACGCUGAGACACGAAAGCGUGGGUAGCAAACAGG